rnacentral:rRNA from 1 species
UACGUAGGGUGCGAGCGUUGUCCGGAAUUACUGGGCGUAAAGGGCGCGUAGGUGGUUGAUUAAGUCAGAUGUGAAAACCCUGGGCUUAACUUAGGAAUUGCAUUUGAAACUGAUCGACUAGAGUUUGGGAGAGGGAAGUGGAAUUUCCGGUGUAGCGGUGAAAUGCGUAGAUAUCGGAAGGAACAUCAGUGGCGAAGGCGACUUCCUGGCCCGAUACUGACACUGAGGCGCGAAAGCGUGGGGAGCAAACAGG